rnacentral:rRNA from 1 species
GGAUCAAAAUGUCGGUCGUGCCUUCGGUACGUACUGGUAUCAUUGGUCUCUCCCUUCUGAAGAACCACGAUGUCAUUAAUUUGGUGUCGUGGGGAAUCAGGACUGUUACUUUGAAAAAAUUAGAGUGUUUAAAGCAGGCUCACGCUUGAAUACAUUAGCAUGGAAUAAUGAAAUAGGACGUUUGAUUCUGUUUUGUUGGUUUCUAGGAUCGACGUA